AAAAAUAAGUCAAGAUUACUUUUAGUAUUCAUAUAUAUAUAGAUUUAAAAAUGGUCUUAAAUAGAUCCAUAAAUAAAUAAAUAAAUGCAUGCUCGCACACACAUACAGAGGCACACGCACACCUACUCAUUUCUUAGCUCUCUUCCAUCUCUACUUUAUCAUCUGGCUUUCCAUUCCAAGUCCCGUAAUUCUGCUCAGUCAAAUGGCAAUCUCACUGUUCUUCACAUGUAUGUGCUUUUCUAUACCACAAUAUCAUUUGGGUAUCUUCCUGCACAUUUAAUUCCACCUAUACUAAUGACACUUUUUCUGAAUUUACAGUUCAUUCCAAUUUUAGCAAAUUUUGAAGCAACGUCAAGAGGAUGGUAUGUAUAUGCCAUUGUGUUUACUGUGUAAUAUCAAUCUGAAAAUAUAUUUUUAUGCACAUUAACCUCAAAGGUAAAAGCCAUGUCGAUGUAUUUUUAGUAUUCUUAACUCUUACAGGCAUUCUGUAAUAUCUACCUAACGAGCUUUUUAUUUUGUUUUGGGUUUGUUGUCGGUGAUUCUAGGUAUAGAAUCCAAGGUUUCCUUCGUGCUAAGUCAUGGAUAAGGCACUGCGCUAUUUGUUGGUGACAUUAUAGCACAUAACAUUGCUGCUAUAGAACGGACGGUGUUUUAUCUUGUCUUUUGAGAUAAGGUCUUACUCUACUGCUUAGGUUAGUCUGGAAUUUGAUAUGUUGCCUAGGCUGGCUGUGAGUCUAUAGCCAUCCUGCCUUAGGUUCCUAAGAGCUGGCACAUCUGGGUUUAAUAGAACAGUUCAAAUUGCAUAGAAAAUGUAUUCAAAAUGAUCCUAAAACUGAAAAGAAGUGAACUCUUGAAAUGUGCUAAGUACUUACUUUUAACCACCUGUUUUACUUCACUUUAAUAAUUUUUAACACAAAAUAAACAUGUACAAAAUGUCCUACAGUGAGAGUACAAACUCAAAUAUUUACUGUGAUCAAUGAGUUCAUGGGUCUUUGCCUUGCCAAAACCCCAUUCCUCAUUAUGAACCUGCUAAUAUAUAUGAUAGACUUUAAGGAAUGAAAAUUUCUAGGCACAUUAACCUAAUCUUUUUUUUUUUUUAAUACAGAGGUGGGAACUAUCUAUCAUGAUGACUGCAUGCUAUCUUAACAGACUCACCAGUUGGUGCCAGUAAAGCAGAAAUUUGGAGACUCUGGAAACCAGACCAAGGGCAGCAGCUCUUUAAAACAGCUGGCAAGAUACAUGAGGAUAGAUAAGGUGUGUGCAGGUAAGGUGCAGGUAAGGUGUGUGACAACAGGAGGUGCAGGUAAGGUGUGUGACAACAGGAGGUGCAGGUAAGGUGUGUGACAACAGGAGGUGCAGGUAAGGUGUGUGACAACAGGAGGUGCAGGUAAGGUGUGUGACAACAGGAGGUGCAGUAAGGUGCGUGACAACAAGAGGUGCAGUAAGGUGUGUGACAACAGGAGGUGCAGUAAGGUGCGUGACAACAGGAGGUGCAGUAAGGUGUGUGACAACAGGAGGUGCAGUAAGGUGUGUGGCAAUAGGUGGUGCAGGUAAGAUCCAGGUAGGAGGAUGCCCUAAGAGACAGAACUCAGCUGCCUGAUGGCACUAGAAACAAGAGAGUGAUUAGUUCUCAUCCUAGCACUGGGAUUCUACUGGUAUCUAAACCUGCAUCCAUUUAAGAGGACAGCAGAAAGCUUGACACAUACCCAAUACAUAAUUUUCUCAUUUCCAAAUUUUCAUGCAUACAAAAUCCUACACAGAACCACAACAGAUCUCAUAAUACAACUUUCCUGUUUACUAUACACAGGAUGAGCAUCCAAUCCAAAAUACUCCAAAGCCCAUAAAUUUCAGGAAUGAUUAUUUAUUUAUACAUACUAGAAAUAAUAUUUAAAAUAACCAAAAUCAAAUACACAAACAAACCCUUGAAAUUAGUCUACAUAUUUUAGAAAGCCACCAAA
rnacentral:sRNA from 1 species